rnacentral:rRNA from 1 species
GACGAACGCUGGCGGCGUGCUUAACACAUGCAAGUCGAACGGAAAGGCCCUGCUUUUGUGGGGUGCUCGAGUGGCGAACGGGUGAGUAACACGUGAGUAACCUGCCCUUGACUUUGGGAUAACUUCAGGAAACUGGGGCUAAUACCGGAUAGGAGCUCCUGCUGCAUGGUGGGGGUUGGAAAGUUUCGGCGGGUGGGGAUGGACUCGCGGCUUAUCAGCUUGUUGGUGGGGUAGUGGCUUACCAAGGCUUUGACGGGUAGCCGGCCUGAGAGGGUGACCGGCCACAUUGGGACUGCGCUACGGCCCAGACUCCUACGGGAGGCAGCAGUGGGGAAUAUUGCACAAUGGGCGGAAGCCUGAUGCAGCAACGCCGCGUGCGGGAUGACGGCCUUCGGGUUGUAAACCGCUUUCGCCUGUGACGAAGCGUGAGUGACGGUAAUGGGUAAAGAAGCACCGGCUAACUACGUG